rnacentral:rRNA from 1 species
UACGUAGGGGGCAAGCGUUGUCCGGAUUUAUUGGGCGUAAAGCGCUCGCAGGUGGUCCGUCGCGUCGUGCGUGAAAGACCCCGGCUCAACUGGGGAGGGUCGUGCGAUACGGGCGGACUGGAGGCCAGUAGGGGGAUGCGGAAUUCCGGGUGUAGUGGUGGAAUGCGUAGAGAUCCGGAGGAACACCAGCGGCGAAGGCGGCAUCCUGGACUGGUCCUGACACUCAGGAGCGAAAGCGUGGGGAGCGAGCCGG